rfam:Schistosoma rodhaini strain Burundi genome assembly, scaffold: SROB_scaffold0005513
ACUUGACGAAUCUCAAAUAGGACGAAACGCGCGUCCUGGAU